AACGAACGCUGGCGGCAUGCCUAACACAUGCAAGUCGAACGAGACCUUCGGGUCUAGUUGCGCACGGGUGCGUAACGCGUGGGAACCUGCCCUUAGGUUCGGAAUAACUCCCCGAAAGGGGUGCUAAUACCGGAUCAUGUCUUCGGACCAAAGAUUUAUCGCCUUUGGAUGGGCCCGCGUUGGAUUAGCUAGUUGGUAGGGUAAAAGCCUACCAAGGCGACGAUCCAUAGCUGGUCUGAGAGGAUGAUCAGCCACACUGGGACUGAGACACGGCCCAGACUCCUACGGGAGGCAGCAGUGGGGAAUAUUGGACAAUGGGCGAAAGACUGAUCCAGCAAUGCCGCGUGAGUGAUGAAGGCCUUAGGGUUGUAAAGCUCUUUUACCCGGGAUGAUAAUGACAGUACCGGGAGAAUAAGCUCCGGCUAACUCCGUG
rnacentral:rRNA from 1 species